GACGAACGCUGGCGACGUGCUUAACACAUGCAAGUCGAACGGAAAGGCCCCUUUGGGGGUACUCGAGUGGCGAACGGGUGAGUAACACGUGAGUAACCUGCCCUUGACUUCGGGAUAACUUCAGGAAACUGGGGCUAAUACCGGAUAGGAAUCCUUGCUGCAUGGUGGGGGUUGGAAAGCUUCGGCGGUUUUGGAUGGACUCGCGGCUUAUCAGCUUGUUGGUGGGGUAGUGGCUUACCAAGGCUUUGACGGGUAGCCGGCCUGAGAGGGCGACCGGCCACAUUGGGACUGAGAUACGGCCCAGACUCCUACGGGAGGCAGCAGUGGGGAAUAUUGCACAAUGGGCGGAAGCCUGAUGCAGCAACGCCGCGGGCGGGAUGACGGCCUUCGGGUUGUAAACCGCUUUCAGCAGGGGCGAAGCUUGUGGUGACGGUACCUGCAGAAGAAGCACCGGCUAACUACGUG
rnacentral:rRNA from 1 species